UUUUUUUCUUUUUCAUUGUACUUCAGUUCUGAUUACUUGGAUUAGGGGGAGAAAACUCAGUAGGAUCUGCCAAUUUUUAGUGAUUUCUGUCAUCAAUUCCUGAUUGCCUAGGAUUGCUUUGUUGUUCACCUUAGAUGCCUUUAAAACAUGAUUUAUUUAAGCCUAUUCACUCUUAGUUGGUUUGGUGAUUGGUAGUAAAGUUGUUUUGGUGUCACCCAUUGGAGUGAGAAUUUUCCCCACAUGAUGGCCAUUGUAGGUCUUUCACAUCAGGUGUACUUUACUUCUAGAGUUGUCAGAAAAGAAUUUAACUCCAGUAAUUAAUUAUUUGGGAUAAGUUUCCCAAGGAGUCCUCAGCUUAGGCUACAUUAGAGGCACUGCAUUCUAUUCAUAUAAUAUGAAACCUUUUAGGUCAUAUGAGUAAUUAAGUUUUACAUCAUUGUGAAAUAAACACAUACGCCUACGAUUUCACCGAAGCAUGUAAGUGGAUGGUUAAGAAGCAAAUGUGUGUUUCCCUUUGUGGAUAAUAAUGGCAGACAGUCAUAUUGUUUAUUUUGCCUUUGAUAUGAAUUUAAAUCAAAUAAAGAUGGUUCAAGUUAGCACAGGGAAAAUCCAGUUGCUUCCCUGGGUCCAUCAGCAUCUUAAUCCGUUUUUCAAAUGUUUUGGAGUUUUGCAAAGCUUGAAACUUUUUUUUUUUUUUUUACCAUGCCCCCUUUCCCUUGUUUUAUAAGCCAAUAUAAUUUUAAAGAAAAACUUAAUCCAUAUGUUUGUGAUUCAUUUUUACUAAACUCAUCAAAAUGGUGUUUUGUAAGAGUGAUUUGGUGUCCAACAAGUCUUUUGAGUCUCUCUGUAACAGGCCUUCUUAAUGCCAUUUCUCUUUGAAGCAAGAAGUUGUGUUUUGCCAACAGUAGAGAAAUUCAAACCCCCAAAGGGUUGAAAUCAGUUUGAAACUUCAAGCCUAAGGACUCUGUGGGGUUCUAUACUUGGCAAAUGGCUACUUCCCUUCUAACUUUGAAAUACCUUAUUUUCCUCUCACAAGAAAUGCUCUACUGUUUUGCUAAAAUAUGUAUUUAAAAUAAUCUUCAGAUUCUUUAAUACAUAAAAAUAUAUACAUUAAAAAGUGGGGCCUAACGUUUAAUUUAUUCUAAAGCAAUAUUAUUUGAUUAUCCAUUUGGAUUUUCCUUUAAUUCUCAUUUUCUGACCCUACACAUCUUUGUGAUUUGGAUUUACCCAAAGAUUUACCAGAAAAGAUGACCAUGAUGAUCCUACAAGCUGGAAAUAAGUGCUGGGUAGUUAUUGGCUUUCUUCCCCAGGUUGCUCAAUAAAGGACAUAUUACUUAAUGUAGUACGCUAAUGUCUCACACUAUAUUUCAUACUUUUAUUUAUGUUGACAACCAAAACUUCAAUGCAGAAGAUUUUGAAUAAUAUGCUCUAUGUCACAAGGUGAACCAUAAUUCACAGUUGUAGAUGUUUGCUAGUUUUUCAAUGUAGUUCAUUUCUAUUUAUAUGUUUAAAGGAAGACCUGUAUAAUUUCCGUUAGUUUUUAUACAAUAGGCAAGAGGAGAGAGAGUGAGAAAGAGAAAACAAAAUAGUAUGUACAGCAAGUUAAAUAUCCAAACCACUAUGGUCCUUUGUCCUGACUGCUUUCUGGCCAUGAAGUGGGAGUGCCCUCUAGUGAAACUUUAAAAUCAUUGGAAGAUAUUGGGUGUAACGUGGUUAAGGUUUUCUCCUAAAUUCUUUUCUUCAAAAAUCUUUGGGCAUUAACAAUUUGCAUAAGUUUUGAAUGAGAGUUAGAGAAAAACACAAAAUACCAUCAAGUAAAACUAUUUCUUUGGGAAACAAAUACAAAUGAAUACAUUACUGUCAAUAUCAAAAAGUACAUGUCUGCAUAUCUUUGUCAUCUAUCUGUUUAUCUAUCUAUCUAUCUAUCUAUCUAUCAUCUAUCUAUCGAAAGAUCCCAAGGACACAUAAGUAGCAUAUAACCCACAACAGGGCUAUAGUUAUCUAAAAGAAAACAUAUAAAAACAUAAUUACCCACUUCUCAAGAAGAUGAAUAAUAAAUAAGUUACUUUGGAAUGUGAAAAUAAGGCAGUAGUAGCAAUACACACGAGUAAAUAAGAAGUGAAAAAUACAUCUUGUCAUCUAUAUUAUUCCAAAUCUCUUUGUAGAAAGCAGCACAUGCUCAUUGUGAUAAAAUCUGAAAAAGUUCAAGGCCAGGAGUCAGAGUUCUUACCCUGGACUUCACUUACCAGCUGUGUGAGCUUGGGCAACACAUUUAACCUCUCUGAGCCUCAGGGUCAUCAUCUGCAAAAUGGGGCUUAAGAACACCUGCCCUACCACCUCAUAGGGUAGUAUUGAAGGAGAUAAAGUAUGGGAAAGGGCUUUGAAGUAGAUAAAGUUCUAUACUGUGAAGGUAUUAUUUUUCUGACUUCUUUCUACUGAGGAAAUUUCAAGCAAAGUCCCCUUUCAGGAUGAAGAGGGAAAGAAAGAAGACCCUCCUAAAAUUCUCUGGAGUCAGGAAUCAUUGACAAAACAUCUUUCUUCCCAAUCAAAAAAGAGUCACAGAGAAAGAAACAGGUGGCGCCCGAGGAAGGAUGCAGGGUUAGACAUUACCAUCGUGGAGCCGCCAGCUCUCCCGGACUAGGCUGACGCCCACGUGGAGGGCCCUCGGCCAGGAAGCAUGGCCUGGGCAGCCUGUGCUGGAGCCGGCUGGGCAGCAGCUGGUGGAGGAGUCAGGAACCGCGUCCCCUCGGGUUUACAGCAGCAAGAGUUUCCGUGAGUCUAAUCUCCACCUUGCACAGAGAGAAGCUCAGCAGCACGUAUGCUCCGCACCUCUGUGCUUUUAAUCCCCCUCUCCGUGACCAUCCAUGCAAAACCGUUCCCUCUUUGUUGUCUUUUCAAAACUGAAAAUAUUUUCAUUUUGUUUAUGCCAACAUAAUAAACUCUUCAUCUGAGCAAACAAUCUGAUUUUUCCUUUUAGUUGCAGUGAGUUUAAUUUCAGAUUUGUGCUGUAACAAUUCCUUACUUUUCUCCACAUAAAGCUUGUUUUCAGUGAGAUGUGGUUUCUCACUAGCUGUGUUUGCUUUGAAGAGAGUUUUACGUACUUAUUUUUAAAAUCAACUUGUAUAGGCACUUUAAAUCAAGGUAUUAAAAUUUUCAGAACAUUCAAAAACUGUUCCCUUUUUUUUUACAACAACAUAGGUAUCUCCUAUGUAUUUAUUGCCUAGAUUUUCACUAUUUAUCUUCUGGAUGUACAUCUUUCUUUUGUCCGGAGUGAGAAACUGUUUCUAGUUUCUUUACUCAGAGGUACUUCACAUUGUCAGACAUGCAUAAUCAAUCUUGUACUUAAACCUUUGUGAGGAACACAACAGAUGGAUAAUGGGAACAUGGUUGCCAUUUGGGGUCUGGUCAAUUCAUGAGCUGCCUCUACAGCCAUGACCCUGGGUCCUUGUAGCACUUGACAUCAUCUUUUGGACGGGUUACAGAGCCUUUUGAGGGAGUUGUUAGAAGCAGGCUCACCAGUUCCACAGGGCUGGGAGGCGUCACAUUCAUGGCGGAAGGCAAGGACCAAGUCACAUCUUAUGUGGAGGGAGACAGGCAAAACGAGAGAAAGAGAGAUCAGAUCUCGUAAACCAUCAGAUGUCAUGAGACUUACUCACUAUCGCGAGAAUAGCAUG
rnacentral:lncRNA from 10 species